AGAACACAUGGCCCUUAGACUAAUGCCGAUGACCUUAUCAGCAUGGCCCACACACCCAGCUUUUGAGGACAAUAAUAUCCCACAAUACCAGAACAGUCUACAGCAGGAAGCUCCUAUGUUGCUGUUAACGCCUCCGCCUUUGCAGAGAUCAGCCAGGGGUGACAAAUCUUUGAGAAUUUCUCUUCGCUCCUCACCCCAUCCUCCAUUACUACCAAACCUGGAGUUCCAGAGAGAAUGUUGCAGGAAGUCAGGGACCCGGAAAAGAGGGACUGACUGAAGCCAUGGCAGGAGAACAUAAAUUGUGAAGAUUUCAUGGACAUUUAUUAGUUCCCCAAAUUAAAACUUUUAUAAUUUCUUAUGCCUGUCUUUACUGCAAUCUGUGAACAUAAAUUGUGAAGAUUUCAUGGACAUUUAUCACUUCCCUAAUCAAUACUCUUGUGAUUUCCUAUACCUGUCUUUAAUCUCUUAAUCCCAUCAUCUUCAUAAGCUGAGGAUGUAUGUCCACUCAGGAUCCUGUCAUGAUUGCGUUAACUGCACAAAUUGUUUGUAACCAUGUGUGUUUAAACAAUAUGAAAUCUGGGCACCUUGAAAAAAGAACAGGAUAACAGUGAUGUUCAUGGAACAAGGGCGAUAACCAUUAGGUCUGGCUGCCUGAGAGCCAGGUGGAACAGAGCCAUAUUUCUCUUCUUUCAAAAGUAAAUAGGAGAAAUAUUGCUGAAUUCCUUUUCUCAGCAAGGAACAGCCCUGAGAAAGAGAAUGCAUUCCCAGGGGUAGGUCUCUAAACUGGCCGCUCUGGGAAUGUCUGUCUUUUAUGGUUGAAGAUAAGGGAUGAAAUAAGCCCUGGUCUCCAGUAGCACUCCCAGGCCUAUUACGGUGAGUAAAUUCUCACCUAGUAAAUUUUUAGUCAGACUGGUUGUCUGCUCUCAAACCCUGUCUCCUGAUAAGAUGUUAUCAAUGACAAUGCGUGCCUGAAACUUCAUUAGCAAUUUUAAUUUCGCCCCCGUCCUGUGAUCUCACCCUGCCUCCAUUUGCCUUGUAAUAUUUUAUUACCUUGUGAAGCAUGUGAUCUCUGUGACCCAUACCCUAUUCAUACACUCCCUCCCCUUUUGAAAAUCACUAAUAAAAACUUGCUGGUUUUGCGGCUUGGGGGGCAUCAUGGAACCUGCCGACAUGUGUGUGUCUCCCGUGGAUACCCAGCUUUAAAAUUUCUCUCUUUUGUACUCUUUCCCUUUAUUUCUCCGACUGACCAACACUUAGGGAAAUAGAAAAGAACCUACGUGAAAUAACGUUGAAUUAUUGGGGGCGGGUUCCCCUGAUAAGGGAAGAGUCUGUUUAUUACUUAUUUUAUCUUUCCUAAAAUACCUAACAUGGGGAUUC
rnacentral:lncRNA from 1 species